AGAUUGAACGCUGGCGGCAUGCUUUACACAUGCAAGUCGAACGGUAACAGGCCGCAAGGUGCUGACGAGUGGCGAACGGGUGAGUAAUGUAUCGGAACGUGCCCAGUCGUGGGGGAUAACGCAGCGAAAGCUGCGCUAAUACCGCAUACGAUCUAUGGAUGAAAGCGGGGACCGUAAGGCCUCGCGCGAUUGGAGCGGCCGAUAUCAGAUUAGGUAGUUGGUGGGGUAAAGGCUCGACCAAGCCAACGAUCUGUAGCUGGUUCAGAG
rnacentral:rRNA from 1 species